ACACCUAUAGUACCAAAUUGAGUAUAAUUAUAUAAACGUAUUAAAGUCUUGAAACUGCUUUGCAUGAACAAUUGAAUACAUAUUGAUAUGCUACGAAGAAAACCUUCAAAAAUUAAACUACAAGUUGAAGAUCUUCAAGAUUAUCUGAAUCAUUGUAAAGAAACGAACAAAGGAAAACAGAGUCACAGCGAAACAAUAACUAAAGAUUUUGAUGUAAAUCAAACGUUCACGACUAUACCGGCAAAUCCAGGCGGUAUUCGAAACACACGGUCUAGAGCAGAAGUUCAUCGUAGAAUUGGAUAUCAACCUCAACCUAUAACUCCAGAAAGUACUUCACAGUACAAUAAUAUUCAUUAGAGAGAUUCGAUCAAGUGAGGCAUGGCAGCUUCAAGUCGAGAAAAAUUUUACGCAAAUAACACUUUAGCUGUUCUUUUGAUUGCAAUGGAAAAUAACAAUGUUAGGGUUGAAACUAAGAAUGAAAGUCUAAUUAAAGGUCGUCUAAUCAAUUGUGACGGCUUCGGUAAUCUGAAUUUAAUAAAUGCAACUAUUAUCAAUGUUAGAGGAACAAAAAUUAAAGUGGAUGAGAUUUAUAUAAAGGUGCGUAAUUGUUGUAAACUUGAUAAGCCUACUUUGUAAACAAUUUAAUACACGUACAUUUUAAAAUUCAAGUUUGGCUAUAAAAACUAUUUUCUAUUGUGGGUACUCGUUGUAAACUUGAUAAGCCUACAUUCAUAAACAAUUGACGUACAUUUUAAAAUCUAAGUUUGCCUUCAAAAACUAUUUUCUAUUUAAUAAAGUAAAGUACCACAUCAUCAACAAAUAUAUGCUAUGUUUCUGUAGAUUUCGGUGUGGUUGCAA